rnacentral:rRNA from 1 species
GACGAACGCUGGCGGCGUGCUUAACACAUGCCAGUCGAACGGAAAGGCCCUGCUUUUGUGGGGUGCUCGAGUGGCGAACGGGUGAGUAACACGUGAGUAACCUGCCCUUGACUUUGGGAUAACUUCAGGAAACUGGGGCUAAUACCGGAUAGGAGCUCCUGCUGCAUGGUGGGGGUUGGAAAGUUUCGGCGGUUGGGGAUGGACUCGCGGCUUAUCAGCUUGUUGGUGGGGUAGUGGCUUACCAAGGCUUUGACGGGUAGCCGGCCUGAGAGGGUGACCGGCCACAUUGGGACUGAGAUACGGCCCAGACUCCUACGGGAGGCAGCAGAGGGGAAUAUUGCACAAUGGGCGGAAGCCUGAUGCAGCAACGCCGCGUGCGGGAUGACGGCCUUCGGGUUGUAAACCGCUUUCGCCUGUGACGAAGCGUGAGUGACGGUAAUGGGUAAAGAAGCACAGGCUAACUACGUG